rnacentral:lncRNA from 1 species
CAUAACAUUUUAUAUUUACUUUUUGUUAAAAAAAUUUACUUAGAUAUAUUUUAGCCCACGUGCUAUUGAUGGCCCACGGGCCGUGUACUAGCCCACCAAUGAACCGUGCUUAUUACGUGCUUUUUCGCGUGCCGUGCUUUAAGGCCCGCGUGCCUAAAAUUCAAGGCACGGCACGGCCCACGUGCGUGUCGUGCCGUGCCUCGUGCCUCACCGAAACGUGCUCGUGCCGUGCCGUGCCGUGCCACGUGCCGCCCGGCCCAUUGGCCAUCUUUAAUGUGAACCACACAAAUUGUGGGAAUCUUCUUUCUAAUUCAUGUACAUCUAUCAAGGAGAGAUUAGCGUUCUACGUACACGUCACUUUCAAAGCGCUCCAAUCAAAUAAAGGCAAAAUUAAAGAAAGCACUUAAACACUACUUUUGAUCACAAAGCACUACUAGGUUUCACAUGCAUCUGCUUAUUAAUUAAUUGGGAGCCUCUAAGUUACAAUAAUUGUAAAAUACAUCCCUCAUGUGAACCACACAAAUUGUAGGAAUCUUCUUUCUAAUUCUUGUACAUCUAUCAAGGAGAGAUUAGCGUUCUACGUACACGUCACUUUCAAAGCGCUCCAAUCAAAUAAAGGGAAAAUUAAAGAAAGCACUUAAACACUACUUUUGAUCAGAAAGCACUAUUGGGUUUCACAUGCAUCUGCUUAUUAAUUAGUUGGGAGCCUCUAAGUUACAAUAAUUGUAACAUACAUUCCUCAUGUGAACCACACAAAUUAUAGGAAUCUUCUUUCUAAUUCUUGUACAUCUAUCAAGGAGAGAUUAGCGUUCUACGUACACGUCACUUUCAAAGCGCUCCAAUCAAAUAAAGGCAAAAUUAAAGAAAGCACUUAAACACUACUUUUGAUCAGAAAGCACUAUUGGGUUUCACAUGCAUCUGCUUAUUAAUUAAUUGAGAGCCUCUAAGUUACAAUAAUAGUAACAAACAUCCCUCAUGUGAACCACACAAAUUGUGGGAAUCUUCUUUCUAAUUCUUGUACAUCUAUCAAGGAGAGAUUAGUGUUCUACGUACACGUCACUUUCAAAGCGCUCCAAUCAAAUAAAGGCAAAAUUAAAGAAAGCAUUUAAACACUACUUUUGAUCAGAAAGCACUACUGGGUUUCACAUGCAUCUCCUUAUUAAUUAAUUGAGAGCCUCUAAGUUACAAUAAUUGUAACAUACAUCCCUCAUGUGAACUACACAAAUUGUGGGAAUCUUCUUUCUAAUUUAUAAUUUUAUUUAUUAAAAUCAUGAUAUUUACUUAUUCAUUUAAUAAAUUAUAAACAUAAAAAUUAGAAUAUUUAUUUAAACUAAGAUUUAAUGAUUUAAAUUAAUUUUUAAAAGUCUAUGCUAAAAAAUAUAUUAAAACAUUUAAUUUCAAGAUAUUUUACUUUAAUUUCAUAACAUUUUAUAUUUACUUUUUGUUAAAAAAAUUUACUUAGAUAUAUUUUAGCCCACGUGCUAUUGAUGGCCCACGGGCCGCGUACUAGCCCACCAAUGAACCGUGCUUAUUACGUGCUUUUUCGCGUGCCGUGCUUUAAGGCCCGCGUGCCUAAAAUUCAAGGCACGGCACGGCCCACGUGCGUGUCGUGCCGUGCCUCGUGCCUCACCGAAACGUGCUCGUGCCGUGCCGUGCCGUGCCACGUGCCGCCUGUAACAUACAUUCCUCAUGUGAACCACACAAAUUAUAGGAAUCUUCUUUCUAAUUCUUGUACAUCUAUCAAGGAGAGAUUAGCGUUCUACGUACACGUCACUUUCAAAGCGCUCCAAUCAAAUAAAGGCAAAAUUAAAGAAAGCACUUAAACACUACUUUUGAUCAGAAAGCACUAUUGGGUUUCACAUGCAUCUGCUUAUUAAUUAAUUGAGAGCCUCUAAGUUACAAUAAUAGUAACAAACAUCCCUCAUGUGAACCACACAAAUUGUGGGAAUCUUCUUUCUAAUUCUUGUACAUCUAUCAAGGAGAGAUUAGUGUUCUACGUACACGUCACUUUCAAAGCGCUCCAAUCAAAUAAAGGCAAAAUUAAAGAAAGCAUUUAAACACUACUUUUGAUCAGAAAGCACUACUGGGUUUCACAUGCAUCUCCUUAUUAAUUAAUUGAGAGCCUCUAAGUUACAAUAAUUGUAACAUACAUCCCUCAUGUGAACUACACAAAUUGUGGGAAUCUUCUUUCUAAUUUAUAAUUUUAUUUAUUAAAAUCAUGAUAUUUACUUAUUCAUUUAAUAAAUUAUAAACAUAAAAAUUAGAAUAUUUAUUUAAACUAAGAUUUAAUGAUUUAAAUUAAUUUUUAAAAGUCUAUGCUAAAAAAUAUAUUAAAACAUUUAAUUUCAAGAUAUUUUACUUUAAUUUCAUAACAUUUUAUAUUUACUUUUUGUUAAAAAAAUUUACUUAGAUAUAUUUUAGCCCACGUGCUAUUGAUGGCCCACGGGCCGCGUACUAGCCCACUAAUAAACCGUGCUUAUUACGUGCUUUUUCGCGUGCCGUGCUUUAAGGCCCGCGUGCCUAAAAUUCAAGGCACGGCACGGCCCACGUGCGUGUCGUGCCGUGCCUCGUGCCUCACCGAAACGUGCUCGUGCCGUGCCGUGCCGUGCCACGUGCCGCCCGGCCCAUUGGCCAUCUUUAAUGUGAACCACACAAAUUGUGGGAAUAUUCUUUCUAAUUCAUGUACAUCUAUCAAGGAGAGAUUAGCGUUCUACGUACACGUCACUUUCAAAGCGCUCCAAUCAAAUAAAGGCAAAAUUAAAGAAAGCACUUAAACACUACUUUUGAUCAGAAAGCACUAUUGGGUUUCACAUGCAUCUGCUUAUUAAUUAAUUGAGAGCCUCUAAGUUACAAUAAUAGUAACAAACAUCCCUCAUGUGAACCACACAAAUUGUGGGAAUCUUCUUUCUAAUUCUUGUACAUCUAUCAAGGAGAGAUUAGUGUUCUACGUACACGUCACUUUCAAAGCGCUCCAAUCAAAUAAAGGCAAAAUUAAAGAAAGCAUUUAAACACUACUUUUGAUCAGAAAGCACUACUGGGUUUCACAUGCAUCUCCUUAUUAAUUAAUUGAGAGCCUCUAAGUUACAAUAAUUGUAACAUACAUCCCUCAUGUGAACUACACAAAUUGUGGGAAUCUUCUUUCUAAUUUAUAAUUUUAUUUAUUAAAAUCAUGAUAUUUACUUAUUCAUUUAAUAAAUUAUAAACAUAAAAAUUAGAAUAUUUAUUUAAACUAAGAUUUAAUGAUUUAAAUUAAUUUUUAAAAGUCUAUGCUAAAAAAUAUAUUAAAACAUUUAAUUUCAAGAUAUUUUACUUUAAUUUCAUAACAUUUUAUAUUUACUUUUUGUUAAAAAAAUUUACUUAGAUAUAUUUUAGCCCACGUGCUAUUGAUGGCCCACGGGCCGCGUACUAGCCCACUAAUAAACCGUGCUUAUUACGUGCUUUUUCGCGUGCCGUGCUUUAAGGCCCGCGUGCCUAAAAUUCAAGGCACGGCACGGCCCACGUGCGUGUCGUGCCGUGCCUCGUGCCUCACCGAAACGUGCUCGUGCCGUGCCGUGCCGUGCCACGUGCCGCCCGGCCCAUUGGCCAUCUUUAAUGUGAACCACACAAAUUGUGGGAAUCUUCUUUCUAAUUCAUGUACAUCUAUCAAGGAGAGAUUAGCGUUCUACGUACACGUCACUUUCAAAGCGCUCCAAUCAAAUAAAGGCAAAAUUAAAGAAAGCACUUAAACUCUACUUUUGAUCACAAAGCACAACUAGGUUUCACAUGCAUCUGCUUAUUAAUUAAUUGGGAGCCUCUAAGUUACAAUAAUUGUAACAUACAUUCCUCAUGUGAACCACACAAAUUAUAGGAAUCUUCUUUCUAAUUCUUGUACAUCUAUCAAGGAGAGAUUAGCGUUCUACGUACACGUCACUUUCAAAGCGCUCCAAUCAAAUAAAGGCAAAAUUAAAGAAAGCACUUAAACACUACUUUUGAUCAGAAAGCACUAUUGGGUUUCACAUGCAUCUGCUUAUUAAUUAAUUGAGAGCCUCUAAGUUACAAUAAUAGUAACAAACAUCCCUCAUGUGAACCACACAAAUUGUGGGAAUCUUCUUUCUAAUUCUUGUACAUCUAUCAAGGAGAGAUUAGUGUUCUACGUACACGUCACUUUCAAAGCGCUCCAAUCAAAUAAAGGCAAAAUUAAAGAAAGCAUUUAAACACUACUUUUGAUCAGAAAGCACUAUUGGGUUUCCCAUGCAUCUGCUUAUUAAUUAAUUGAGAGCCUCUAAGUUACAAUAAUAGUAACAAACAUCCCUCAUGUGAACUACACAAAUUGUGGGAAUCUUCUUUCUAAUUCAUGUACAUCUAUCAAGGAGAGAUUAGCGUUUUACGUACACGUCACUUUCAAAGCGCUCCAAUCAAAUAAAGGCAAAAUUAAAGAAAGCACUUAAACACUACUUUUGAUCAGAAAGCACUACUGGGUUUCACAUGCAUCUGCUUAUUAAUUAAUUGGGAGCCUCUAAGUUACAAUAAUUGUAACAUACAUCCCUCAUGUGAACUACACAAAUUGUAGGAAUCUUCUUUCUAAUUCAUGUACAUCUAUCAAGGAGAGAUUAGUGGUCUACGUACACGUCACUUGCAAAGCGCUCCAAUCAAAUAAAGGAAAAAUUAAAGAAAGCACUUAAACACUACUUUUGAUCAGAAAGCACUACUGGGUUUCACAUGCAUCUGCUUAUUAAUUAAUUGAGAGCCUCUAAGUUACAAUAAUUGUAACAUACAUCCCUCAUGUGAACUACACAAAUUGUGGGAAUCUUCUUUCUAAUUUAUAAUUUUAUUUAUUAAAAUCAUGAUAUUUACUUAUUCAUUUAAUAAAUUAUAAACAUAAAAAUUAGAAUAUUUAUUUAAACUAAGAUUUAAUGAUUUAAAUUAAUUUUUAAAAGUCUAUGCUAAAAAAUAUAUUAAAACAUUUAAUUUCAAGAUAUUUUACUUUAAUUUCAUAACAUUUUAUAUUUACUUUUUGUUAAAAAAAUUUACUUAGAUAUAUUUUAGCCCACGUGCUAUUGAUGGCCCACGGGCCGCGUACUAGCCCACCAAUGAACCGUGCUUAUUACGUGCUUUUUCGCGUGCCGUGCUUUAAGGCCCGCGUGCCUAAAAUUCAAGGCACGGCACGGCCCACGUGCGCGUCGUGCCGUGCCUCGUGCCUCACCGAAACGUGCUCGUGCCGUGCCGUGCCGUGCCACGUGCCGCCCGGCCCAUUGGCCAUCUUUAAUGUGAACCACACAAAUUGUGGGAAUAUUCUUUCUAAUUCAUGUACAUCUAUCAAGGAGAGAUUAGCGUUCUACGUACACGUCACUUUCAAAGCGCUCCAAUCAAAUAAAGGCAAAAUUAAAGAAAGCACUUAAACUCUACUUUUGAUCACAAAGCACAACUAGGUUUCACAUGCAUCUGCUUAUUAAUUAAUUGGGAGCCUCUAAGUUACAAUAAUUGUAACAUUGGCCAUCUUUAAUGUGAACCACACAAAUUGUGGGAAUAUUCUUUCUAAUUCAUGUACAUCUAUCAAGGAGAGAUUAGCGUUCUACGUACACGUCACUUUCAAAGCGCUCCAAUCAAAUAAAGGCAAAAUUAAAGAAAGCACUUAAACACUACUUUUGAUCAGAAAGCACUAUUGGGUUUCACAUGCAUCUGCUUAUUAAUUAAUUGAGAGCCUCUAAGUUACAAUAAUAGUAACAAACAUCCCUCAUGUGAACCACACAAAUUGUGGGAAUCUUCUUUCUAAUUCUUGUACAUCUAUCAAGGAGAGAUUAGUGUUCUACGUACACGUCACUUUCAAAGCGCUCCAAUCAAAUAAAGGCAAAAUUAAAGAAAGCAUUUAAACACUACUUUUGAUCAGAAAGCACUACUGGGUUUCACAUGCAUCUCCUUAUUAAUUAAUUGAGAGCCUCUAAGUUACAAUAAUUGUAACAUACAUCCCUCAUGUGAACUACACAAAUUGUGGGAAUCUUCUUUCUAAUUUAUAAUUUUAUUUAUUAAAAUCAUGAUAUUUACUUAUUCAUUUAAUAAAUUAUAAACAUAAAAAUUAGAAUAUUUAUUUAAACUAAGAUUUAAUGAUUUAAAUUAAUUUUUAAAAGUCUAUGCUAAAAAAUAUAUUAAAACAUUUAAUUUCAAGAUAUUUUACUUUAAUUUCAUAACAUUUUAUAUUUACUUUUUGUUAAAAAAAUUUACUUAGAUAUAUUUUAGCCCACGUGCUAUUGAUGGCCCACGGGCCGCGUACUAGCCCACUAAUAAACCGUGCUUAUUACGUGCUUUUUCGCGUGCCGUGCUUUAAGGCCCGCGUGCCUAAAAUUCAAGGCACGGCACGGCCCACGUGCGUGUCGUGCCGUGCCUCGUGCCUCACCGAAACGUGCUCGUGCCGUGCCGUGCCGUGCCACGUGCCGCCCGGCCCAUUGGCCAUCUUUAAUGUGAACCACACAAAUUGUGGGAAUAUUCUUUCUAAUUCAUGUACAUCUAUCAAGGAGAGAUUAGCGUUCUACGUACACGUCACUUUCAAAGCGCUCCAAUCAAAUAAAGGCAAAAUUAAAGAAAGCACUUAAACACUACUUUUGAUCAGAAAGCACUACUAGGUUUCACAUGCAUCUGCUUAUUAAUUAAUUGGGAGCCUCUAAGUUACAAUAUUUGUAACAUACAUCCCUCAUGUGAACCACACAAAUUGUAGGAAUCUUCUUUCUAAUUCUUGUACAUCUAUCAAGGAGAGAUUAGCGUUCUACGUACACGUCACUUUCAAAGCGCUCCAAUCAAAUAAAGGCAAAAUUAAAGAAAGCACUUAAACACUACUUUUGAUCAGAAAGCACUAUUGGGUUUCCCAUGCAUCUGCUUAUUAAUUAAUUGAGAGCCUCUAAGUUACAAUAAUAGUAACAAACAUCCCUCAUGUGAACUACACAAAUUGUGGGAAUCUUCUUUCUAAUUCAUGUACAUCUAUCAAGGAGAGAUUAGCGUUCUACGUACACGUCACUUUCAAAGCGCUCCAAUCAAAUAAAGGCAAAAUUAAAGAAAGCACUUAAACACUACUUUUGAUCAGAAAGCACUACUGGGUUUCACAUGCAUCUGCUUAUUAAUUAAUUGGGAGCCUCUAAGUUACAAUAAUUGUAACAUACAUCCCUCAUGUGAACUACACAAAUUGUAGGAAUCUUCUUUCUAAUUCAUGUACAUCUAUCAAGGAGAGAUUAGUGGUCUACGUACACGUCACUUGCAAAGCGCUCCAAUCAAAUAAAGGAAAAAUUAAAGAAAGCACUUAAACACUACUUUUGAUCAGAAAGCACUACUGGGUUUCACAUGCAUCUGCUUAUUAAUUAAUUGAGAGCCUCUAAGUUAUAAUAAUUGUAACAUACAUCCCUCAUGUGAACUACACAAAUUGUGGGAAUCUUCUUUCUAAUUUAUAAUUUUAUUUAUUAAAAUCAUGAUAUU